rnacentral:rRNA from 1 species
AACGAACGCUGGCGGCAUGCCUAAUACAUGCAAGUCGAACGAGAUCUUCGGAUCUAGUGGCGCACGGGUGCGUAACGCGUGGGAAUCUACCCUUGGGUUCGGAAUAACAGUUAGAAAUGACUGCUAAUACCGGAUGAUGACGUAAGUCCAAAGAUUUAUCGCCCAGGGAUGAGCCCGCGUAGGAUUAGCUAGUUGGUGAGGUAAAGGCUCACCAAGGCUACGAUCCUUAGCUGGUCUGAGAGGAUGAUCAGCCACACUGGGACUGAGACACGGCCCAGACUCCUACGGGAGGCAGCAGUAGGGAAUAUUGGACAAUGGGCGAAAGCCUGAUCCAGCAAUGCCGCGUGAGCGAUGAAGGCCUUAGGGUUGUAAAGCUCUUUUACCC